UACGUAGGGUGCAAGCGUUAAUCGGAAUUACUGGGCGUAAAGCGUGCGCAGGCGGUCUUGCAAGACAGAUGUGAAAUCCCCGGGCUCAACCUGGGAACUGCAUUUGUGACUGCAAGGCUGGAGUGCGGCAGAGGGGGAUGGAAUUCCGCGUGUAGCAGUGAAAUGCGUAGAUAUGCGGAGGAACACCGAUGGCGGAGGCAAUCCCCUGGGCCUGCACUGACGCUCAUGCACGAAAGCGUGGGGAGCAAACAGG
rnacentral:rRNA from 1 species